CCUACGGGAGGCAGCAGUGAGGAAUAUUGGUCAAUGGACGAGAGUCUGAACCAGCCAAGUAGCGUGAAGGAUGACUGCCCUAUGGGUUGUAAACUUCUUUUAUAAAGGAAUAAAACGAGGCACGUGUGCCUUUUUGAAUGUACUUUAUGAAUAAGGAUCGGCUAACUCCGUGCCAGCAGCCGCGGUAAUACGGAGGAUCCGAGCGUUAUCCGGAGUUAUUGGGUUUAAAGGGAGCGUAGAUGGGUUGUUAAGUCAGUUGUGAAAGUUUGCGGCUCAACCGUAAAAUUGCAAUUGAUACUGGCAGUCUUGAGUACAGUUGAGGUAGGCGGAAUUCGUGGUGUAGCGGUGAAAUGCUUAGAUAUCACGAAGAACCCCGAUUGCGAAGGCAGCUUACUAAACUGUGACUGACAUUGAUGCUCGAAAGUGUGGGUAUCAAACAGGAUUAGAUACCCUUGUAGUC
rnacentral:rRNA from 1 species